GGGAUUUUGUCUGAGGGCUGGAGAGAUAUAGUAAUUUGGGCCAAGUAUCCCUCUUGCAUAAUCUAGUGCUUCAGUAAAAUCAUUAAAACCUUUAAAAAGAGGAGUUUUAACUCCGUUUAUAGACUCUACUACUUCUAUCCAUGUUUGAAAAAUACCAUUAGUCUUACCAUGUAUUACCACAUAAUAUUUAAAUUUAUUCUCUCUACUUUUAUCUGUAAAGUAUUGACAUAAAGCAUUUAACG
rnacentral:lncRNA from 1 species